CCCCAGUAGCUCAGUCAGGAAGAGCCCGACGACGGAGUACCCAAAUGUCUCCCGUCGCCCGUCGUCGACGACCCCGGUUCGAGUCCGGGCAUGGGGA
rnacentral:tRNA from 2 species